AAAUGGUAUCAGGCUUUAUACUUUAGGUUGAUUAAUACACAAAGAUUGAAGCUUUAAAACCAGAAAAUCUAAGAAGGAAGAGCACAGAGAGUAGCAAGGACUCAUCUCCAGCCAUACAUACCAUCGGAGGCCACGAUCCUUCCACUUGGAGAAGGAUCGGGUAACACAGUACAUCCCAAGACAGAUAAGAAUAACAGCUGUAGCAAGGACUCAUCUCCAGCCAUACAUACCAUCGGAGGCCACGAUCCUUCCACUUGGAGAAGGAUCGGGUAACACAGUACAUCCCAAGACAGAUAAGAAUAACAGCUGUAAGGUUUCUAAAACAAGAAUUAAAACUAGCCGUUACAAGUUUAAAAAGCUAAUGGCUAUUUCUAAAAAUAGCAGUUCUUCAUCUUUUCGAAUUCUUCAUUCUCUUCACUUUCAACCUGCAGGAUUGUCAUCUGCAAGUUGAUUUAAGCUUAGUAUGCAGCUUAAUUCUCAACAU